rnacentral:rRNA from 1 species
UACAGAGGGUGCGAGCGUUGUUCGGAAUCACUGGGCGUAAAGCGCACGUAGGCGGAUUGCUAAGUCAGGGGUGAAAUCCUGGAGCUCAACUCCAGAACUGCCUUUGAUACUGGCGAGCUUGAGUCCGGGAGAGGUGAGUGGAACUGCGAGUGUAGAGGUGAAAUUCGUAGAUAUUCGCAAGAACACCAGUGGCGAAGGCGGCUCACUGGCCCGGUACUGACGCUGAGGUGCGAAAGCGUGGGAGCAAACAGG